CCUACGGGAGGCUGCAGUGGGGAAUAUUGCGCAAUGGGCGAAAGCCUGACACAGCGACGCCGCGUGAGGGAUGAAGGUCUUCGGAUCGUAAACCUCUGUCAGCAGGGAAGAACGGUCACUGUGCUAAUCAGCAGUGAAUUGACGGUACCUGCAAAGGAAGCACCGGCUAACUCCGUGCCAGCAGCCGCGGUAAUACGGAGGGUGCGAGCGUUAAUCGGAAUUACUGGGCGUAAAGCGCUCGUAGGCGGUAUGUCAAGUCAAGGGUGAAAUCCCCGCGCUCAACGUGGGAACUGCCUUUGAAACUGGCAAACUGGAGUGUGUGAGAGGAGAGUGGAAUUCCAGGUGUAGGAGUGAAAUCCGUAGAUAUCUGGAGGAACAUCAGUGGCGAAGGCGACUAUCUGGAACAUAACUGACGCUGAGGAGCGAAAGCGUGGGUAGCAAACAGGAUUAGAUACCCCAGUAGUC
rnacentral:rRNA from 1 species